UAUUCUGUCCAGUUACGCCACAUGUUUACGUAUUUCACAUUCCUUUGUUCUGUAUCAUUCUCAUAUCACACUGUAUCUGACACGAAAGCAGCGACGUUUGUUCCAAAGAGCCUUAAAUUUAAAAUAAUUAGAAGAGUUUCGAACGUAGGUUGCGAAUGUUGCGCAAAAAAAUUGUGUAGAAAAUGGCUUCCUAUUACUGCUAAAAAGGUUACAGCUACUUCUGAUUCCCUUUCUAGAAAUGUGGAGGAAAUUCAUCCUUUUGGAGCAUCCCUAUGGAAAAAAGUAGUGAGCCAAUUUCAUUUACAGAAAUUCACCAACAAAUGAGAAAGAAUGCUACUUAAUGUUAAUGGUACUGAUGGGAUAGUUUUUCCUGGACUUCAUUCUUGAUCUGCUGUUGACGUCAUAAUGUUACAAAAUUCUGCAGUUAAUUUUCAACUGAUGAAUGAGAGCAACUGGAAAUUUAUUUGGUCCCUCCCACCGACAACGAAACAACAAAUUAUUUGGUUUUCAUACUUGUAAACUUUGGAACGUUACAUUCUACAGUUAAUUGAUUAAGGACAAUGAUAAAAACUCUGGAUGCCAUGUGUUUUGGAGCAUUCACCAUAUCAUUCCAUUUUUACUCCAGGAUGUAGCAGUUUCCAAAUGAGGUCUGAAAGUGCCUUUUUUCCACUACGAAGAAAGGCAAUGUGUUAUUGUAGUCAAAGAAAGAAUUUAUUAGAAUGAAUAGAUUGGCCAACAAAUGAGAAAGUCAAUUUUAAUGCUACUUAUGCAACGAAUAACUACAAUGGGAUCGUUUCCAGGACUCUACUCAUGAUCUCCUGUUGACCAAAUAUUCCAAAAUUUUCGAUUGAUGAAUGGGCAACUGGAAAUUUAUUUGGACCCCAUUGGAACAACAAAUCUUUGGUUUCCACACUUGUAAACAUUGGAACGUUACAUUCUGUAGUUAAUUAAGAUCGACGGUGGAGAAGACAAAGAAGAUCCCGCAGUUCAAAUGCUUCUCUAUUUUGCAUGUCUGUAGUUUAUUUUAUUUGAAUUAAUUUUUAUUUUGCAUGCUUAAUUUAGCUUAUUUUAUUUGAAUUAAUUUUUGAU